rnacentral:piRNA from 1 species
UCNCCAGGGUACAACUUAGCAGUUGG